UACGUAGGUGUCAAGCGUUGUCCGGAUUUAUUGGGCGUAAAGCGCCCGCAGGCGGUUCGUUAAGUUCGAGGUGAAAUCUCCUGGCUCAACUGGGAGGGGUCUUCGGAUACUGGCGGACUUGAGGAGAGCAGAGGUGAGUGGAAUUCUCGGUGUAGUGGUGAAAUGCGUAGAUAUCGAGAGGAACACCAGCGGCGAAGGCGGUUCACUGGGCUCCACCUGACGCUGAGGCGCGAAAGCGUGGGGAGCAAACGGG
rnacentral:rRNA from 1 species